rnacentral:rRNA from 1 species
AACGCUAGCUACAGGCUUAACACAUGCAAGUCGAGGGGCAGCAUUGUUGUUGCUUGCAAUAACAGAUGGCGACCGGCGCACGGGUGAGUAACGCGUAUCCAACCUUCCCCAUACUAAGGAAUAGCCUGCCGAAAGGCAGAUUAAUGCCUUAUGUUCUCCGUUGACGGCAUCAGAUAUGGAGCAAAGAUUUAUCGGUAUGGGUUGGGGAUGCGUCCGAUUAGCUAGACGGUGAGGUAACGGCUCACCGUGGCGACGAUCGGUAGGGGUUCUGAGAGGAAGGUCCCCCACAUUGGAACUGAGACACGGUCCAAACUCCUACGGGAGGCAGCAGUGAGGAAUAUUGGUCAAUGGGCGGAAGCCUGAACCAGCCAAGUAGCGUGAGGGAUGACUGCCCUAUGGGUUGUAAACCUCUUUUAUGUGAGGAUAAAUGACGGUACGUGUGCCGUUUUGCAGGUAUCACAUGAAUAAGGACCGGCUAAUUCCGUGCCAGCAGCCGCGGUAAUACGGAAGGUCCGAGCGUUAUCCGGAUUUAUUGGGUUUAAAGGGAGCGUAGGCCGCCUUUUAAGCGUGUUGUGAAAUGUAGACGCUCAACGUCUGAAUUGCAGCGCGAACUGGAGGGCUUGAGUGCGCGGUAAGCAGGCGGAAUUUGUGGUGUAGCGGUGAAAUGCUUAGAUAUCACGAAGAACUCCGAUUG